GACAGAGGUGCCAAGCGUUAGGCGGAAUCACUGGGCUUAAAGCGUGUGUAGGCGGGCGAUCAAGUACCUUGUGGAAAUCCCACGGCUCAACCGGUGGAACUGCUGGGUAUACUGGUUGUCUUGAGCCAGCUAGGGGCGAGCGGGAACAGACGGUGGAGCGGUGAAAUGCGUAGAUAUCGUCUGGAACGCCGAAGUGAAAACAGCUCGCUC
rnacentral:rRNA from 1 species